rnacentral:rRNA from 1 species
UACGGGGGGGGCAAGCGUUGUUCGGAAUUACUGGGCGUAAAGGGCUCGUAGGUGGCCAACUAAGUCGGACGUGAAAUCCCUCGGCUUAACCGGGGAACUGCGUCCGAUACUGGUUGGCUUGAGUUUGGGAGAGGGACGCGGAAUUCCAGGUGUAGCGGUGAAAUGCGUAGAUAUCAAGUGGAACACCAGUGGCGAAGGCGAGUCUCUGGACAUUUCCUGACGCUGAGGCACGAAAGCCAGGGGAGCAAACGGG